CCCUUAGAUGUUCUGGGCCGCACGCGUGCUACACUGAGUGGAUCAGCGGGUCAGGUUGCGCGAAAGCGUUUCCUAAUCUUUAAAUCCGCUCGUGUUGGGGAUUGACGGUUGCAAUUUUCUGUCAUGAACGAGGAAUACCUUGUAAGCGCGGGUCAUCAUCCCGCGCUGAAUACGUCCCUGCCCUUUGUACACACCGCCCGUCGCUCCUACCGAUUGAGUGGUCCGGUGAGGCUUUGGGAUCUGAGCGGAAAGAGCGUUUCGCUGUUUCUGCUCGGAAAACUCAGUCGAACCUUAUCAUUUAGAGGAAGGAGAAGUCGUAACA
rnacentral:rRNA from 1 species